rnacentral:misc_RNA from 1 species
GAAAUGCGAUAAGUAAUGUGAAUUGCAGAAUUCAGUGAAUCAUCGAAUCUUUGUACGCACAUUGCGCCCGCCAGCACUCUGGCGGGCAUGCCUGUUCGAGCGUCAUUUCAACCCUCAGAACCCCUUGCGGGAUCUGGCGUUGGGGAUUGGCAUCCAGCCAGCCCCGAAAUCUAGUGGCGGUCCCUCCGCGACCUCCCCUGUGCAGUAGCGAUACCUCGCAGCGGGACAGCGGUCUGACCACGCCGUAAAACCCCCAACUUCUCAAGGUUGACCUCGAAUCAGGUAGGAAUACCCGCUGAACUUAAGC